ACGGGGCCCGCACAAGCGGCGGAGCAUGUGGUUUAAUUCGACGCAACGCGAAGAACCUUACCAGGGCUUGACAUCCCCUGACCGCGUAUGAAAGUACGUUUUCACCCUCGGGUGACAGGGAGACAGGUGCUGCACGGCUGUCGUCAGCUCGUGUCGUGAGAUGUUGGGUUAAGUCCCGCGACGAGCGCAACCCCUACGUUUAGUUGCUAACGCGUGAAGGCGAGCACUCUAGACGAACUGCCGUUGACAAAACGGAGGAAGGUGGGGAUGGCGUCAAAUCAUCAUGCCCCUUAUGUCCUGGGCCACACACGUACUACAAUGGCAACAACAAAGAGCAGCAAGUCCGCGAGGCCAAGCGAAUCUCAAAAUGUUGUCCCAGUUCAGAUUGCAGGCUGCAACUCGCCUGCAUGAAGUCGGAAUUGCUAGUAAUGGCAGGUCAGCAUACUGCCGUGAAUACGUUCCCGGGCCUU
rnacentral:rRNA from 1 species